rnacentral:sRNA from 1 species
GAGGUCAGUCUGGAUGUGAUCUCUCAUUCUAGUAAUCACCAGAGUUUAUUUGGCUGAUCUGGCUAGUUAGGAAGUUUUUCUCUUUUCUC